CUCUGCUCGAGGUGCACGUAAACUGCAGCAGCCGGCGCGCCGUGAUCUUAGGAGAAAUCACGAUGUACGCAAUCAAAAUGAAGCGAUCUUUAGACAGCGAUGAUAAAUAGACACAUAUAGUCGAUAAAAAAAGAAAGAAGGAGAGAGAAAAAUUUGAAUAAUAAAAAAAUAUCACACAAUUUAUCGCGAAAGCUCUACUGAUCUUCAUACAUAUAAAACAAUAUAUUCACAAAAAGAUGUAAAAUUAUAUACGACUACAUUCUUGAAUGCUUAUCGAAAAUAUUGCAUUCUCCGAUCGUCCGUUAACUGCAAGCCGCUUCUCGCGUAACCUCGUUUUUUUCCCAGCAAAUUGAUUUCUCGAAUAAGCAGAAUAUAUAUACGCUAUGCUAGCGUGCGAGCUUUCAAAUCAGCUGUUUCGGAGCUAUCCUGCCAACUAUAAAAUAUGAUGUGGCUGAUCUCAUAUUUCGUCCUUUGCAAACCAAGAAAAAUUUGAGACUUUGGAGAGAGAAGAAUAAAGGGCAUCCCAACAUAAAUCUGAUAUCAGACUUGUCCAUCUCACGAGAUCACUUCACACCGAAAAAUAAUCCACAUUGCGCUGACACAUACCAUCCUCUUCUCGCCCCGUACACGCGUGUGUGUAUAUGCGUGAGUUGCAUUGACCGCUACUGAACUUUGAUGUGUUUCCUGCACAAAAUUCACCUCCGAAGUCAUAAAUUAGCUACCGGAGACCGAUGCGUUUCUCUUUGGCCGGCUCCCUCGAACCAGCACCAAUACCACGGCACUUCAACGAACUCAAAAGCAUCAAAAGCAAACGUAAACGUCGGACAAACCUCGCCGAUUUGCCGAUGGCAGCAGUUAUGGAAGUAUGUAAUAUAACAAAUAUUCGAUCCAGAUUGUCACCUAAUUUUUUUAACAUACCUCGUCCAUCCAUGAAAGUGAAAUGCGUUUUUUUCUUCUUAUUUUAUUUUUGCUCAUCUGAUCGUGGCGAUUAUAGCAAUAUUUACGAAUGUCAUAUAUAACUUUGCGAUCAUAUGCACGAUUGUAACAAAAAGUUAUACAAUCCAUAAAAUUUAAAUAUAUUUAAUCGCAAUCUUUAUUUUAUUACUGGUCCAUUUAUCCCUCACUAUACAUGCCAUAUGAAUGAAAUCUUAAUCUGAAAUAUAAUUUAUGAUAAAAAAUAUGGUUGUUGUAGUACGUACAAAAAAAGACAUCCCCAAAUAUAUAUAUUAAACUGAAUUCUCUCUAAAAUCAUCCUGUUUAACUGCCAUGAUCGUGUCAAUUAUUUUUGACGCGUUUUCAAAGUUGUUUCCGUUGGUCACUUUCACUUUGCUGAUCGUGGCCUAUCUUUAAAGUGCGUCGGCUGUCUCCGUUCUCAC